rnacentral:rRNA from 1 species
CGGAACUCUGCAGUUCUCCAGUUGGCCUUCUCUUCUUUCUCUCUUGCCGGCUCCGACGGACCGGCAAAAUUCCAAAUCUCUCUCUCUGUGGGCGGGCGGGCGGCGAUGGAGAGCCCCACAUCGGCGGCGUCGCGGGUGGACUUCUACGGCUUCCUCGACCGCAUGCGCCGCCCGGAGGCCGCCGACCUCUUCCGCUCCAUCAAGAGCUUCCUCACCUCCCUCUCCCUCGACGAGCCCAGCGCCGAGGCGGACGGCGCCAGGGUCCAGGCCUUCUUCACGGAGAUGGAGGCGGCCAUCCGGGGCCACCCGCUCUGGGCCGACGCCACCCACCAGGAAAUCGACCACGCGCUCGAGGGCCUCGAGAAGUACAUCAUGACCGAGCUGUUCGACCGCACCUUCGCGGCGUCGCCGGAGGACGCCGCCGCCGACGCCGAGGUCUCGGACAAGAUCGGCCUCCUGCAGCGCUUUGUCAGGCCCCAUCACCUCGACAUACCCAAGGUCCUCAACAACGAGGCUUCCUGGCUGAUUGCAGUUAAAGAACUACAGAAGAUUAAUUCCUUCAAGUCCCCGUGGGAGAAGCUUCUCUGUAUGAUGAGCUGUUGCCAAGUCAUCAAUAACUUGCUGCUAAACGUGUCCAUGACAAAUGACCGGACGCCAUCUGGGGCUGAUGAGUUCCUUCCCAUUCUCAUUUAUAUUACCAUCAAGGCCAAUCCUCCUCAGCUGCAGUCAAAUCUGAAGUUUGUUCAACUCUUCAGAAGAGAAACUAAGCUUGUUUCAGAAGUCGAAUACUAUCUCACAAACCUCAUUUCAGCAAAGAUGUUUAUAAUCAAUGUUAAUGGCCAGUCGCUAUCCAUGGAAGAAAGUGAGUUUCAGAAGCAUAUGGAAUCUGCAAAACUAGGUACUCAAAUGUCUGUUGCUGGCCCUAGUAGUCCACAAGGGUUGGCUACAUCUACGAGGGGAUUACAGAAGCAAAUUGAUGCAGAAGGUUCCAGAUUCCCUUUCAUGGACUCGGAAACUGAAAAUCUGACGCCAGCGGAACUCAAGCAGUUACAUGGGCUCUACAGGAAGACAGUGACCAGAUAUACACUGUUGUCUAAAGCCUUAAGAAAGUUAUCCAUAGAUGAGGAUCAGCUCCUCGCAUCAGUAGAUGAUUCAUGAACUGAUGCAAAGAUUAUUAUUUUGCCACUUGACCGUUUCAACAAAAAACAAGGCAGGAUGGGAGGAGGAGAUUACAUACGUCGUUCAAGUGUCAAAACAUGGUAUCAAAACCUGGAACCGCAUUCAUGUUAAUGUUGUCCCUCGACGAAUAAGCCCAAGACUGCAGAAACAUUAUCACAAUUCAGCAUCCAUGUCCAGGGGGUACCAAACGAUGUGAUACAAAUCGAUGAUCAUGUGGUAAUUGAUGGCCAGCUGAAUGAGUUAUCAACUCACUGGACGCUAAUGAUGCAGCAGGUCAGCAGCAGCUCAUGGAUCUGGAUGUCUGGUUAGGACACUUACCAAAGCAUUGUACAACAGAAUCGGGAUGCAAGCUUUCAUUUGAGUUUCUGAAAAGCGAUAUGAAGAGCCUUCUCCUUGACUUGUUAUCGCAACCCCACCAGGAGAAACAGCCACUACCUGCCAAUUCUGAGCUUGGCAUCAGCGACAUUAAGAUCAUCUGCAUGAUAAAAGGUCGUCUGGCGUCGCCUCUCUUGGCCGGUGAAAAGACGGCGCCCGCUAUGCCCAUCUGAGGACUUGCGCUCCCUGGACCACUCACUAACUGAUCGAGCUGGACAAGAAAGUAAGGGAAGCCCCAACACUAAGCCGGUGAAGAUGAGAAGGACCUCGACGGAGUGGCCAAGAACUCUGAUCGCCAUGGCCAGGUUACCGCGGUGCGUUGAAGAGUGGGAGGAGCUGUUAAAGCUUUUUCUUCGGCUUUUCUUUCGGCAGUCGGCCUAUUUUUGCUCUGGAGCUGUCUUGCAUUUUUCCUUCUCGCGGUGCUGCGCUAGAUGUAUCCUGGGACCAUAUGUUGAAUACUCUCUAGUGUUUCAUUUCCCAGUGAAAGAUGGAACAGGGCUGUUGGCAUUUUGAUUGAUUGUUUUCUUUUUUGGUCUGAAGAGCACCAAGAUCCUCUUCAUGCACCGA